rnacentral:rRNA from 1 species
CAAGGAAUUUUCGGCAAUGGGCGCAAGCCUGACCGAGCAACGCCGCGUGGAGGAUGACGGCUUUCGGGUUGUAAACUCCUUUUCGGUGGGACGAAUAUUGACGGUACCACCUGAAUCAGGCCCGGCUAACUACGUGCCAGCAGCCGCGGUAAUACGUAGGGGUCGAGCGUUGUCCGGAUUUAUUGGGCGUAAAGGGUGGGCAGGUGGUCGGUGAUGUGCCGUGUGAAAGCGCCGUAGUCAUGACGGCGAGGUCGCGGUAGACACAUCGACUUGAGGCAGUGAGGGGGCAGUGGAAUUCCCGGUGUAGUGGUGAAAUGCGUAGAUAUCGGGAGGAACACCAGUGGCGCAAGCGGCUGCCUGGCACUGACCUGACACUGAGCCACGACGGCGUGGGGAGCAAACGGG